rnacentral:rRNA from 1 species
CCUACGGGUGGCAGCAGUCGAGAAUCAUGCACAAUGGGGGAAACCCUGAUGGAGCGACGCCGCGUGGGGGAAGGAAGGUCUACGGAUGGUAAACCCCUGUCAUGGGGGAGCAAAUUAAAAAGAUAGUACCACAAGAGGAAGAGACGGCUAACUCUGUGCCAGCAGCCGCGGGAAUACAGAGGGCUCAAGCGUGGUUCGGAAGCACUGGGCGUAAAGCGUGCGUAGGCGGUUUCGUAAGUCGGGUGUGAAAGGCGCGGGCUCAACCCGCGGACGGCACAUGAGACUGCGAGACUAGAGUGAGGGAGGGGGAACCGGAAUUCUCGGUGUAGCAGUGAAAUGCGUAGAUAUCGAGAGGAACACUCGUGGCGAAGGCGGGUUCCUGGACAUUAACUGACGCUGAGGCACGAAAGCCAGGGGAGCGAAAGGGAUUAGAUACCCCUGUAGUC